GACGGAGGAUGCAAGCGUUAUCCGGAAUGAUUGGGCGUAAAGCGUCCGCAGGUGGCAGUUCAAGUCUGCUGUCAAAGACCGGGGCUUAACUUCGGAAAGGCAGUGGAAACUGAACAGCUAGAGUAUGGUAGGGGCAGAGGGAAUUCCUGGUGUAGCGGUGAAAUGCGUAGAGAUCAGGAGGAACACCGGUGGCGAAGGCGGGUCUCUGGGCCAUAACUGACGCUGAGGAGCGAAAGCGUGGGGAGCGAACAGG
rnacentral:rRNA from 1 species